rnacentral:lncRNA from 1 species
AUAGGCAACACUCCUUUUGCGCCAAUUACUGUUUUUCAGGGGUAUCAUUUGCGCCAAAUUUUUUUUCUUCAAAUGUAUCAAUUGCGCCAGUUUUCGGAACUCAUUUGCGCCAAUUUACCUGAACACAUAUUGAUCGUACAUAUUAAAGAUUAAUAUAUAUUUAGUAUCAUUUUUGUCUGAGGGGAAGUCUUGCACAUACACAUGAGACAGACCCACAAAAGUUAGAGCGUCAAAUACUACGAACAGCAUGCAAAAGAAAAGCUACAGAAAAUAUAUCCGAAAGACCAGCUAAGAUCAUAUGUUCGGAACUAUUCCAUCAUGAAGAGGAACAUCUACAGAAAAAUGACUUGAAGUGCAUAAGACAGUCUAUGUACAAAGAGAAGAUAACUGUUCCCAACAAAAGUUCAGUAGAAUUUCAAAAAAUUUAAGUGAGGUAUAGUGAUCACAAAUAAAGAAGAAGAGUUUGUUUUAGUAAAUGAUAUUGACAGUGGCAUUGUUAUUCUCGGUUGUGAAGCUUACUUGAAAUUUCUUUGUAUGCGGGGCAGAAGAUGUUUUUGCAUACAAUACAUGGAUUCAGGAAUGGACAUUUAAUUUAUAUUCCACUUUUAGAUUGCCUUUUGCCUUCUAAAUCAGGAAACUGUAAUAGAAAAAAAAUUCUGUGUUUAAGGAAUGUUUUUCUUUUAA